rfam:Mesocricetus auratus contig060739, whole genome shotgun sequence.
GGAUAAGAGGUCGAUCUGACUGUGACAUCUGUCACCCCAUUGAUCGCCAGGAUUGAUUCAGCUGAUCUGGCUGGCUAGGCGGAGGAUGUCCCCUUCCUCCCUCACCUCUCCAUGUAUGUCACUCCUGAAGUUGCAUGCUCAGUCGAAUGGGACGACCUUCCUCAAUAGACAACCGGUCUUUGGUCAAGGGUAUACGAGUAGGUGCGCUCUCCUGCUAGAACCUUCAAACAAGCUCUAAAGGUCCAUUUAUAUAAAUUUUUAUACAUAAAAGGAAAUAAAUUUCUGGAUAUGCAGAAUUGUACCAUGAACACAUAUAUCCAUAAAUAUGUCUAUGUAACAAAUUAUUU